GAUGAACGCUGGCGGCGUGCCUAAUACAUGCAAGUCGAGCGAACAGACGAGGAGCUUGCUCCUCUGACGUUAGCGGCGGACGGGUGAGUAACACGUGGAUAACCUACCUAUAAGACUGGGAUAACUUCGGGAAACCGGAGCUAAUACCGGAUAAUAUAUUGAACCGCAUGGUUCAAUAGUGAAAGACGGUUUUGCUGUCACUUAUAGAUGGAUCCGCGCCGCAUUAGCUAGUUGGUAAGGUAACGGCUUACCAAGGCAACGAUGCGUAGCCGACCUGAGAGGGUGAUCGGCCACACUGGAACUGAGACACGGUCCAGACUCCUACGGGAGGCAGCAGUAGGGAAUCUUCCGCAAUGGGCGAAAGCCUGACGGAGCAACGCCGCGGGAGUGGUGAAGGUCUUCGGAUCGUAAAACUCUGUUAUUAGGGAAGAACAAAUGUGUAAGUAACUAUGCACGUCUUGACGGUACCUAAUCAGAAAGCCACGGCUAACUACGUG
rnacentral:rRNA from 1 species